rnacentral:rRNA from 1 species
GACGAACGCUGGCGGCGUGCUUAACACAUGCAAGUCGAGCGGUAAGGCUCCUUCGGGGGUACACGAGCGGCGAACGGGUGAGUAACACGUGAGCAAUCUGCCCUUCACUUUGGGAUAACCACCGGAAACGGUGGCUAAUACCGGAUAUGACCAGUCCCUGCAUGGGGUGCUGGUGGAAAGUUCUGGCGGUGGAGGAUGAGCUCGCGGCCUAUCAGCUUGUUGGUGGGGUAAUGGCCUACCAAGGCGACGACGGGUAGCCGGCCUGAGAGGGUGACCGGCACACUGUGACUGAGACACGGCCCAGACUCCUACGGGAGGCAGCAGUGGGGAAUAUUGGACAAUGGGCGAAAGCCUGAUCCAGCAACGCCGCGUGAGGGAUGACGGCCUUCGGGUUGUAAACCUCUUUCAGCAGGACGAAGCGCAAGUGACGGUACCUGCAGAAGAAGCACCGGCCAACUACGUGCCAGCCGCCGCAGUAAUAC